UCUUGUCUGCACAGUUGUCCUGGACUUCAAGCUGAACACCUGGAUGCCGUUGUGAGCGGUACCUGGGGAGGAGCCCCGUCGUGCACUUCUCAGGGCCCUCCAUCCGAGCGAGCAGUUCCAGGUUAUCAGCAAAUUCACAUCCGAGGAGUCGAAGAAAUUAAACCACCAACAAACUUCACUGUCUGUUGUAAAUAUGCAAAGCAGCUGAGGUCAAAGCUAUAAAGCUUGUCUGACAGCACUCCUAAAAUGUUCCUGUCAACCUCCCGGUCCCUUGAGUUCCUGGCAAAAAGCAAGUGGCAAUACCAGUUUGGGCAGCUAGUGUGUCAGGACCACAGGAUGGCGGCGUGGGCGUAGAACGCGUGGGACAUUGUCGGAAAUGCUUACCGAAUCCUGUCCUUCUGGAUGGCUGCCUGUGAGCUACACAGUCUUCAGCCCCAAGGUGGGCACAUGCGUGUGUUCUCCUGGCUACGAGCAAAAUACUCAUGGAAAUGAUGACAGUGGUGACGGUGGCAAUGACGCCAGGGCCCACGAGUGCCGUAAAGGACGGAAACAGGCAGGCACUGUCCCGAGACCCGCACGUGUUACCUUUGAUUCCCACACAGCUUUACAAAGUCCCUGCGUCUGCCAAGACGAACUGGAGCCUUGUAUUCAGCCCUGGUGAGUUUUGGCACUCCAGUGCCCAGAGACUUCCAGUGGAAGGUCCCAGCUCGCCGGGCGACGUGACAACCCACAGGGAACAAGAUUUAUCUCCCUCUUCCUGCUCGGGGGCUGAACAUGAAGCAGGUUCUGCAGUGUUAAAACGUGUUCCACACCUAAGCGACAUCUGGGAGUCUGAGCUUGCAGAACCAAGGUGGAGAGAGUUGAUGUCUUGGAGAAAUGCCUUUCCAUACUUUUAAGUGCAAUAUUAACUCACGUCGGAUAUAACAAGUAACCGUGCAAUGAAAUGAAGUCAGGAACAGCAAAGCCAUUAAGAAAAUGUACCAUUAGGAAGAGAGCUCGUGUUUCCUCUGGAAGAGAUUCACCAGGUAGUUGGGUGCCUGCAUGUCAAUAAAGCAGUCUAUCUGCUGGUCCAAAGCCGAGAGUCUAGACCACCAGCAUCCGGAUCACA